UACGUUCUUCUGUUUUUGUGUACAUAGCUAAUCAUGAAGUUUUAUUAUCUUUAAAUUAUAUAAUUUAGAGAAGAUGUCAAUGAGGGCGUCUCCUAUACUUUAAAUUUUCUUGUAAUAGGUGAUAACUUUACAAUACAUUCAAGAAAACCAUGGCCAUACUUGUUAACUUGACAGGGAUGGUCGAAUGGGAUUUACUAGGUGAAUAGUUCGAUGCAUUGUUUUAGGUAUUAUAAGGAAUUUGACAAGUUGAAGAUUGGUUGAAUUCAAAAAGCAAUACAAAGUCAAUGAUAUCUUCUACAAGUUCUUAUAAACUGGUUAUGGUUAGAGUCUACUCAAUAGGUUUAGGUUCUUCCUCUUGUUAUUUGUGACUUUCUAUGCCAACUUGUAUCUCAGUGGGUCUAAUUUAGGUUUUCCUGUUUUACUUUGGGUUCCAGGCUGCCCAAAGACAAGUGAGAAAUUUUAGUGGUUGCCUUUUUGAUGGAUGUAAUGUUAUUUUCUAUUUAUAAUGUAUGUUUUCAAAAUA